rnacentral:rRNA from 1 species
AUUGAACGCUGGCGGCAGGCCUAACACAUGCAAGUCGAACGAGUGGCGGACGGGUGAGAAAUGUCUGGGAAACUGCCUGAUGGAGGGGGAUCAACACUGGAAACGGUAGCUAAUCCCACAUACUCUCGGGUGUGCCUAGAUGGGUUUAGGUAGUAGGUGGGGUAAUGUCCCACCUAGGCGACGAUCCCUAGCUGGUCUGAGAGGAUGACCAGCCACACUGGGACUGAGACACGGUCCAGACUCCGACGGGAGGCAGCAGUGGGGAAUAUUGCACGAUGGGCGCAAGCCUGAUGCAGCCAUGCCGCGUGUAUGAAGAAGGCCCUCGGGUUGUAAAGUACUUUCAGCGGGGAGGCGUUACCCGCAGAAGAAGCACCGGCUAACUCCGUGCCAGCAGCCGCGGUAAUAC